AUGCUGACUCUUUUGCUUGCUCUUUUGCCUGGUGCUGGUGUCGGAAGCUUCAUUACACAGUGGCCAGAAGAAACCCUUAAGAGAGCUGGAGAGACUGUGGACAUCUCCUGCUCCCAGAAAUACUCCACACUUGCCUAUAUGUUCUGGUACCAACAGCCCCCAGGAAAUGGUCUGAAGUUAAUAGCCAGUUCUUCUACAUGGAUGCAGAACUCUUACGAAGAAGGUUACAGUGAGACCAAGUUUGAGAUACGCAGAGAUGAUAAUAAUCACUCUUUGAUGACGAUCAAGAAUGUGACAUCCAAGGAUGCUGCCAUGUAUUUCUGCGCUGCUAGUGAUCACACGGUUGAGCGAGGGGAUUGA